GCGGAGAAAGCACGUGGUCCUCCUGCAGUUUACUGUGAUACUGAAGUCUUCCAGACAACAUUAAUCUAUCGAUGACUCUGAGGUGAAGAUGUGAUUGAUGCAGUUACAGACAUUGGUGUCAUAGAUAUACAGGAUGUGCAGUUAAGAGACAGGAAUCUACUAGUAAACUGGUAAUAAACCUAAGUCUGGAAGGACCACAACAAACAUCUCACCUGAGUCUUUCAUUAAUGUGCCAAACUGUCUGACCUAAGAUCUUCUGAAGUAAGUCUGUACAUUUCUUUGAGGUGGAUCAUAUCUACUUUAAAGAUAUACAGGCAUUGACCUUAAUAGUGUCAUUCCAGGUUAUUUACUCCUGUUUGAAAUUAUGCACCACUUCUCACAUGCAUGUG